rnacentral:lncRNA from 1 species
CACACUCCUCUAGCAGGCGGAAAAGGUGAGGCAAUCGGAUGAAAAUGUAUGGAGUUAAAGUCAUUCAGGAGAGUGAUGGGAAACGAAACUGCUGGAUGGAUUGGGAGAGGUAAAGAUUGGAGAUCCUGUUUCUUCUCUUCAACUUGCUGUCUGCACAACUGUAGAAAUAGAAAGAUAGAGAUAGAGCUGGACCCACCCUUUAGUUGCCACGUGUCGGCCGACCUCUCUAUCAUUCUCCUCAUUCAUUUAUGUUAUGUUUCCUCUUCUUUGCUGUUCUUCAACCCCCUUUCAUCCUAUCCAUGUAUGUUCUCACCGCCUC